rnacentral:sRNA from 1 species
UUUCGCCUGUAGUAAAAGAGGAUGAGAACCUCCGAAGGAGGUUUGAGCCGAGCGAAGCGAGACAACGUUGCUUUAGCAACGACCCGCAGGGCAAGCAUCGCAGAUGCGCGUCAUCCUCUCUCGCCGACCA